rnacentral:snoRNA from 1 species
CCUGCCCCUAGAGGCUUUUCAGGUGCGGAUACUGUGUCACUUGUGUGUCAGUAGGUGGCUAAGCAGAGAGAGGCCAUGCAUACACUCAGUGUUCUGGCCUAUGAACAUCUGAAUGAUUAGCAGCUUAACAUU